ensembl:snRNA U2 U2 spliceosomal RNA
AUCGCUUCUCAGCCUUUAGGCUAAGAUCAAGUGUAGUAUCCCCUCUAGUCUGUGACGGUUCCUAAGUACUCUCUUGUCUUUCAUGACCUUGAUGCUUUUGAUGAGUAUCGAUUGGCUAGCGAAUGCCUUCUCAAUUACAGUUUAUCAGCUGUUUUCUCCUAAUGAGAUUGUGGUUAUG